rnacentral:miRNA from 1 species
AACCUCAUUGGCCAGAAGGGAUUCCUUCCGGUUGAUGAGGUAUAACAUCCUCAUCAACAGAAGGAAUCCCUUCCGACCAAUGAGGUA